rnacentral:lncRNA from 1 species
UCGUCUCUCAAAACACUCUCAGACUCACCGAAACCAUAAUCACCUCCUACCUUAUUUCACCAUGUUGCCACUGGAAUCCAUGGCGUAGCAGGCCGUGGAUGACCUGUGCUCACCCUUUCUCACUAUAGACCUAAGUUGUUCGAUGAUUUGAAGCCAGAAAAUGAUGGUUCUUUUUCAGAUCCUUUUCAGGUCUGUAGAUCCAUGGCUUCUCCGGUCAUUUUUUGGCAUGUUCAAGCAAAAUUAGUCUUUUCGACUCAGGAUCUAACUUUCCACAAGACCUUUCUCAUUUAUACGAUUUUCUCUGCAACUCUAAACCAUCAGAGGUUCUGUACUGGCCUAUCUUUCUGAGAUCUGUGAUAUGUCUGGACUUUAUUUGACAUAUUAAAAUAUUUCCCCAAAUUUCUUUUUUUUCAAAAUCUCUCAAUCCAAAUUUUAGGGUUUCUGAAAAGUUUCUUCAAAUGUCUUUCCGAUUCUUUCUGCUCUUUCUUCAUGUGUGUUUACCAAUGUUAUGCUCGUAUGCUUUCUUUUCUACUAUGCUUGAGUUUUCUCUCUUGUUUCCUUUAUGUAAUAUUCUUCUAUUUUGUUGUUAUUUCUGCACUCGCAUGUUAAUAUGUAUUGUUUUCCUCAUUCUUUGAUAUAUGUGUUUAUGGUUGAGUUCUUUGAUUUUUUUGAGAUUGCUGAACUCUGUUUUUGUUCCUGCUAAGCAUAUUUUCUCUAUUUUUGUUUAAAACUCGUAUCAUCUCUUUCUUCUGAACUUGUUUAACUCCGAGUUUCUCAAAUAUGUUCUCAUGAACUUGAAUUUCUUUCCUAUCAUGUAUGUUUGUUUCUUGUAAAGUCUUUGGAAGAGACUUCUGAGCCUCUUUCAAUGACCUGUUUGCUCACCCCUAUGUCUAACUCAAUUCGAAACCCUAGGAUUUGGGGGGGGGGGGGUUUCGUUGUCAAGUGGUAUUAGGGUUCUACUUUGGUACCUAGGCUUUCAGACUCACUAUGAGUCUGUAACUUCUCUUGAAUCCCAUUUGCUCGGGACUCUAAGGCUUUUAAUGUUAGAUUGUUAUUGUAACCUGAUAAUUCCUUCUAUUUGAUUGGCAUGCUUUAUAUGUGAGAAAUUUCUCUUUCAAAAGGUUUAUUUACCAACCAAGUGAUUGAUCCUAAAAUCCCUUUAAUAAGGAUGAUGAAUUGUCACUUAUUUUCCUUCGAUUGAACCUCUUUUAUCUUUCUUGACUUGGUUCAUUCAAAUUAAACUUAUAAUUUUUGUUUCAUGGCUGUUUGAUUGAUUCCCUUGGCAUAUUUGGCACAAACCGUGUACUGUUGAUUGUUUUCCUUAAAUAAGUUCUAUGUAUUUACGCCUUUUCUGCUACUUUGAAAGGUUUUAAUUAAAACAAAUUUCCUUAACUGGCUUUUACAUGUUGGAAUCAGAAUCCCUUAACCAAAGGGAGACUAAUUUCAAUGAUAUUUCCUUGCCUUUCUUACAUAUUUGUUUGCAGUAUAAAAGGACUGCCCUUCUGCAGUUUUAAGACACGACUUCAUCUCCACACUACCAGUCCUUAACUUCCAAUACAGUACUUGCACACUUGCAAUACUGUUUUGAAUGCUCUGCUUACUUGAGAUCUUUUUGAGCUACUUUGCUCGCAACUUGGCCUUUCAAGACUAUUGUUUUACUUGUUUGUUUUCCCCUGAAACUGGUAUGUUCUGAUUUAACUUUUCUGCCUCACCCCUAUGUGCUUAUUUACAGUUUUCUACAAUCUUGUUUCCUUUACUGCUCGUUUUCAAUGAUUUAUGCUAAUUAUGUUCUUUCCUUGCAUCUGUUUCUAUUAUGAUUCCCUACCCCAUAUGCCCUUCUAUGUGUUUGAUUUAAGGCUCAUGGCCUGGCAGUAUUAAUAUUGCUACGAAGGCAGAACCUGAUCCACCAUGGAUCCUAACUCCUAAGACUUGGCAAAUAGGCUAGUCAGGGGUGUGCUAACACUCCCAAUUGCUUAGUAUAACCACCAGCCUGCCAUGGCUCUCCCUAAUUUUGUCUAUGCACUUACACUUAUUUUUAGAUUCUUAAGUUCUUCCCCCCUCGUAUGAGCCUUGCUUUGGGACCUUGAGUUCCCUCUGAACUUGGACAUCUGAGGGUUGGCCCUUCCACACGGCACUAUGGUCUUAAUUUUGCAAAGUGUUUAUGGUGUAAGCACAACCUGGAGUACCUUUGAGACUCUUGGGAACUUUGAGACAUCGCAAAUAUGAGACAAGCUUUUGGAAAUCUGAUCCUAGAAGCUGGUUUAUCUCAUAUUAUCGGACUUUGAGUCUGAUUUAGGCUGUUUGGUUGUAGCUGGAAUUUCUGAUGUAUUUUUUACUUCUUUUUUGAUUCAUUUGGCUCUGUAAUAAUUUUUAAUAACUUUUGG